AAAAAGGAGAUUGGGGCCUGCUGGACCAUCAUGAUUCUAAGCAGCUGUGUGUGUGUUUCUUUUUUUGCAGGUCACUGUCUGGGUGGUCAGGAUGGUGGCUCAUGGGGGCAGCACCCACAUGGGGAUGACACGUGGAGUGAAGUGUCCACCUGCCUGUGUCCACCCAGUGAGGCUGGGAUGAGACCCUGUGGAUGGAUGGCUGGUGACACUUGGGAGCAGCCGCAGACAAGCCGAUCACUCAGAGACUUAGGGCUCACUGGGGAGGCGUGAGAUUUCCUUUAGUCCUUGGACACCAAGUGAACACCACUCUACACCCGUAUCCAGCAUUGAUGACAAAGAAGACAGAUCCCAAGAAAGGGCUGGUGGGGGUUACACAGCUGAGAGCUUUCUUGUGCCAGAGAAAGCUCUCAGGCCUAGAAGCAGAGAGACAGUGUCCUUUGCUGCUGCAGAAAACUGUGAGAAUUUAUGCCCCAGGGGACAUGGUAUCUGCCAUACCAGUUACUCCCACUCAUAUGACAAUACUAUAGCCAACAUAUUUUCAUUAUUCUAGCGAUGCCUUGCUUAUCCAGACAAUAUUUACUCAACAACUUUAAUGAUCAGAAAAAUUUAGAAAACAACCAAGAGAUGAAAUUAUCCUUGACCCCCAACGGUUUCAUAAGCCUGGGCCAGUGGACUACUCUUGAAAAGGAUUGUCACCAGACACAGCAGCUUCUUUUUCCAGGAAAUCCACUUCAGUGCUCCAGGGAGGCAAGUCGGCAGCGAGUGCUCAUAGCAACAGUUCACACACA
rnacentral:lncRNA from 1 species